GACAGAGGGGGCAAGCGUUGUUCGGAAUUACUGGGCGUAAAGGGCGCGUAGGCGGCCUUCUAAGUCAGACGUGAAAUCCCUCGGCUCAACCGGGGAACUGCGUCUGAGACUGGAAGGCUUGAAUCCGGGAGAGGGAUGUGGAAUUCCAGGUGUAGCAGUGAAAUGCGUAGAGAUGCGGAGGAACACCGAUGGCGAAGGCAGCCCCCUGGGCUAAGACUGACGCUGAGGCACGAAAGCGUGGGGAGCAAACAGG
rnacentral:rRNA from 1 species